rnacentral:rRNA from 1 species
UCCAAUAUCCCACUGCCAAGAAAAACUUCUAGCAAGACGUUGCCAGCCCGUACCGUAAACCGACACAGGUAGUCGAGGAGAGUAUCCUCAGGUGAGCGAGUGAACUCUCGUUAAGGAACUCGGCAAAAUGACCCCGUAACUUCGGAAGAAGGGGUGCUGCUCGCAAGAGCAGCCGCAGUGACCAGGCCCAAACGACUGUUUAUCAAAAACACAGGUCUCUGCAAAAUCGUAAGAUGACGUAUAGGGGCUGACGCCUGCCCGGUGCUGGAAGGUUAAGAGGAGGACUUAGCGUAAGCGAAGGUCCGAAUUGAAGCCCCAGUAAACGGCGGCCGUAACUAUAACGGUCCUAAGGUAGCGAAAUUCCUUGUCGGGUAAGUUCCGACCCGCACGAAAGGCGCAACGAUUUGGGCACUGUCUCAACGAGAGACUCGGUGAAAUUUUAGUACCUGUGAAAAUGCAGGUUACCCGCGGCAGGACGGAAAGACCCCAUGGAGCUUUACUGUAAUUUGAUAUUGGGUGUCUGUAGCGCAUGUACAGGAUAGGUAGGAGCCGUUGAAUACGGGACGCGAGUCUCGUAGGAGGCACUGGUGGGAUACUACCCUUGUGCUAGGGCCACUCUAACCCGCGCCACUAAGCGUGGCGGGAGACAGUGUCAGAUGGGCAGUUUGACUGGGGCGGUCGCCUCCCAAAAAGUAACGGAGGCGCCCCAAGGUUCCCUCAGAAUGGUUGGAAAUCAUUCAACGAGUGUAAAGGCAGAAGGGAGCUUGACUGCGAGACAAACAGGUCGAGCAGGGACGAAAGUCGGGCUUAGUGAUCCGGUGGUACCGCAUGGAAGGGCCAUCGCUCAACGGAUAAAAGCUACCCUGGGGAUAACAGGCUUAUCUCCCCCAAGAGUCCACAUCGACGGGGAGGUUUGGCACCUCGAUGUCGGCUCGUCGCAUCCUGGGGCUGUAGUCGGUCCCAAGGGUUGGGCUGUUCGCCCAUUAAAGCGGCACGCGAGCUGGGUUCAGAACGUCGUGAGACAGUUCGGUCCCUAUCCGUCGCGGGCGUAGGAAAUUUGCGAGGAGCUGUCCUUAGUACGAGAGGACCGGGAUGGACCUACCGCUGGUGGACCAGUUGUCGUGCCAACGGCAUCGCUGGGUAGCUACGUAGGGCAGGAAUAAACGCUGAAAGCAUCUAAGCGUGAAGUCCCCCUCAAGAUGAGAUUUCCCUUUUCGUAAGAAAGUAAGAUCCCUGAGAGAUGAUCAGGUAGAUAGGUC